GUAACACGUAGUCAACCUGCCCUCGGGUCGAGAAUAAUCUCGGGAAACUGAGGCUAAUGAGCGAUAGGUCAAGAUUCCUGGAAUGGGUUUUGGUCUAAACGGCGUGACAGCAUCUUGUCGUGUCCGCCCGAGGAUGGGACUGCGGCCGAUCAGGCUGUUGGUGGGGUAAAGGCCCACCAAACCAGUAACCGGUACGGGCUUUGAGAGAAGGAGCCCGGAGAUGGACACUGAGACAAGGGUCCAGGUCCUACGGGGCGCAGCAGGCGCGAAACCUUCGCAAUGCGCGCAAGCGCGACGAGGUUAUUCCGAGUGAUUUCCGCUGAGGAAAUCUUUUCUUAGAUCUAAAAAGUCUGGGGAAUAAGGGGAGGGCAAGUCUGGUGUCAGCCGCCGCGGUAAUACCAGCUCCUCGAGUGGUCAGGGCGUUUAUUGGGCCUAAAGCAUCCGUAGCCUGCUCGGUAGGUCUCCUGUUAAAUCCAACGGCUCAACCGUUGGCCUGGAGGACAUAACGCUGGACA
rnacentral:rRNA from 1 species